GUUACUGAAAGCCGUGCUUUUCCUCUUUCCGAGGCCUGCUGUUGGGCAGAGCAGUGCGGCUUCCUUCCGCCUCCCUGAACUCCUUCUCUCCAUCAGUUCGCUAUUCUUCAACACUUGUUCUGUUCUGGAAACUUGGCAGGUAGCAUGUACGGUUAUUUUCAGAGGAAUGAGUGGCAGAAGAAAGCCACAUUGGAAGUAGAAGCUUCGGGAGUCUUCCAGACAAGUACCCACGGCCGCAAAGCUGCAGAGUAACCAGUGAGGCUUCCACCGAGGCCUGCUGUCAUCUCAGUGUCUCAUCACGCCGGCAUGAGAACGCACAUGGCGGCCACGUCGUGUGGACUGUGGGUGUGGAUCAAUGAUCCCCCCACCUUCUGCUGUGCGACUGGGCAGUUCCUAUAAUUGAGCUUCAGUUUCCUCCACCUCAGUUGCCAUCACUGGGGGACAGGGAGGGUAACCACAAUGCUUCCCUUGUGUCAUGAGGAUUAAAAGAAUUUUAAAACUC